UAGUCAAGUUUCUCACGGCUCCAGGAGGAGGUGCCAUUUGUCUUCAUAUCCCCCACGUUCCCCUUCUCAGUUGCUAUAAAUAUAGCUGCCUUCUGCUUUAGUUUUCCCCACAAUUUUUUCAGACUUUGAAGCUCUGUUUAUUGUGAAGUAUGGAAGAAUCUGUUAAGCUCAGGAGGGAUAGCGCCAUGGAUGAAUUCACAAUCGAUCAUGCCCCUUAUAUUAUUGGGUUUUGAUCCGUCUAUAGCGCUAUCCAUCCUGAGUUUAAUCGGUUCUUCUUGCUCUGUCUCUCUCUCUCUCAGCUCGCUUGCUUGCUUUUCCGUACUUCCACUCCAGGUUCUUUCAAAAGUUUGCAUAUGGUUUAAAGGAGCUGUGACGGCUGAUCCUUCAGUUUCAUUUGUUGUUGUUCUUCUUCGUCUUCUUCUUAAGGAAAGAAAAAAAAAAUAGAAGAAAAAUCUUUGAAUAAGGAUAUGCGUUCUUUUCAGACGACCAUAAUGAGUUGUGGACUAACGUUAUUAGGUUUUUCUUUAAUUUCGAUAUGCAUGUUCCCUGUUCAUGCAACCUUGCACUCUCUGCGUCACAGAUGUUUUUCUUUUAGUCAUUUGAUUUGUCUUUCCAUAUUGGUCAUGGUGGUAGUAGUCUAAUUGUGGAGGAAAAUGGAAGUUCACAUUUGCCCUGUGAUGUUUGUAAUUUUAUUAUAUAAACUAAAAAGCAAAUUAUGAAUGUAUAUAUGGAGUAGUAGGAUAGGGCUUAUCCGAUAUUUCAUUAUGGAAUUUGGAUUUUGGGAGAGGUUGGAUUCGGGAAUGUUGACUUGUUCACCAUCCCCUCUUGGUAUAGUGUUUAGGUCAUUGUCCUAGACUUUUGAGUCUUUUCCUCUCUUGAUCCCCUAAAUUUGUAGGGUAAUGGAUUAGCAAUAUCUGUAUAUCUUCAUUGAUUUCCACCUUUCUGAUAUUUUGCCCCCUUUUCAGGUGACUAUAUUUCCACGCUUCCUCUCCUGCUUCCACUAAAAUAUCUCAUAUGCUGGCCCUUCUUUUGUUUUUAUUCCAUUCCAUCCCUUCUCUUAAAGAAAACCCUAGUAUUUUUUGUUAGUAAGGAGAUCAAGAGAGUGGGUAUCCGAGUCUUUCAGUCACUAGAUUAAGUAAGGUUAAGGUUAGGCAAGAAAACCCUUUUAUACAUAUGUAUAAUUAACAAAUUAUAAUUGUAUUUUUUGUUUGUAAAGAGAUCGAGAGUGAGAUCCGAACCCAAAUCUAUUAAGUGAGCUAUUUAAUCACUAAAUUAGUAUGAUUAAGAUAAGAAAAUCUAGUUUAUUGUUGUACUUAAUUUAAUUAAGUAAUACUAUUAGCAGUUUCUUUAUUUGGUCCAUCUAAUUUUAACUUUGAUUUUAAUUUAAAAUUUUAUAAUUUUAGAUGAUAUAUUUUAAAAUUAAUUUGCAUAAUAUAAUUUGGCUCAUCUAUAAUGUGGGUAUUAAAUAGUGUCAGGAAACCUACCAAAGAAACAUUAUUUUUUUGCAUCUUGCCAGGCAAAAGCAUGCCAGCCCAGCUGCAUAGACAAUUAUCUAUCUCCUUGUCAGUUUUCAUCAAUGGAGAUGCAAACUAGGAAUAAAUAUUUUUUGGCUUUUAGAUUUCCUUAUUGUUGUGAACAACAGCGAGUUCUCACUAUAAAGGGCAUUUUGAGAAGAUGCCCAAGCACCAGCAUUUUGCAGAGAUGAGAGACCACACUCUCUGUUGUAAGGGCCCCAACCCUAUCUGGUGCUCUUCAAUUCACUAUUUAACCUUUUCUCUGCCAGUACUUGCUGCUUUUUCUUCAUCCUUUUCAUCUAAAUUUUGGCUCUCUUUUCGAUUUUGAGGUAGGGGCCUUCACUUUUAAUGAAUUGGUUAAUUCUUACAUUUUAGUAAUAGUUUGUCUAAUUUUAUGAAUUCUUAAUUUUAAUUUAUUUAUUUAUCUCCAUCCUUCAAUUUAAAAUUGUAAUAUGAUAUUAGAGCAAGGAGUUUAUGAGAGUUGAGAACAAGCUAACUAUUUUUAGCAAAUGAUGAAUCUAUGUUGUAGUAUAGACUCGUCUCUAAUUUAUUCAUUCACCUUCACUGUUCAAUUCAAAAGUGUACAUAUAGGUUUUUGUUGUUAGUGCCUUAUUUUUUGUUGAAGUGCCUUCUUGUAUAUGGGAUCUUGUGCUCCGAACAUAUAGCUUACUCUGCCUGAUUUGCUCGAAGAUGUCACGAUUGAGUGCAUUGGGCGGAUUCUGAUUAUUCAGCAAGUUGAUUUUUGUGAAUUCAUUUGGGUUAUUUUAGACAUUUGCUUCACUUUUUAUGUAAUCUUUAAUCAAUUUUGUUAAUGUAAAAAUCUUUUUAAUUUAUUUUAUUUUUUUGGAUGGAUUAAUUUAAGUUA